rnacentral:rRNA from 2 species
CUUUGGGUGUGACUGCGUACCUUUUGUAUAAUGGGUCAGCGACUUAUAUUCUGUAGCAAGGUUAACCGAAUAGGGGAGCCGGAGGGAAACCGAGUCUUAAUUGGGCGUUAAGUUGCAGGGUAUAGACCCGAAACCCGGUGAUCUAGCCAUGGGCAGGUUGAAGGUUGGGUAACACUAACUGGAGGACCGAACCGACUAAUGUUGAAAAAUUAGCGGAUGACCUGUGGCUGGGGGUGAAAGGCCAAUCAAACCGGGAGAUAGCUGGUUCUCCCCGAAAGCUAUUUAGGUAGCGCCUCGUGAAUUCAUCUCCGGGGGUAGAGCACUGUUUCGGCUAGGGGGCCAUCCCGGCUUACCAACCCGAUGCAAACUGCGAAUACCGGAGAAUGUUAUCACGGGAGACACACGGCGGGUGCUAACGUCCGUCGUGAAGAGGGAAACAACCCAGACCGCCAGCUAAGGUCCCAAAGUCAUGGUUAAGUGGGAAACGAUGUGGGAAGGCCCAGACAGCCAGGAUGUUGGCUUAGAAGCAGCCAUCAUUUAAAGAAAGCGUAAUAGCUCACUGGUCGAGUCGGCCUGCGCGGAAGAUGUAACGGGGCUAAACCAU